CUGUCGUGUCCGCCUCUGCACUGGGAUUCCUCCAGCCCCAGCAAGUCCCUCAGGUGGUCCCAGCCUCUGUGUCCGCCUCUGCUCUCCCAGAGCGCCUCAGGCAGAGCAGCCAGGAUGGGGACCAGGCCCGCCUUACCGGGAAUGAGCCUGUCACCUGCUCCUCCCACCCCGCAGCAGACAGAUGUGCAUAUAUCACUUCAAAAAAACAAAAGUGGAUGUGGCUGAUGCCAAAGUGACCUGCCCCAGAAGAGCUGCUAACAGAACAGCAUCCCAGGAGGCUGCAGAAGGCUGAAGAGCAGAGCCCACACCUGCUAUGGGCCACAAGAGGCCCUGGAUGCCAUGGAGGCCGCAAGGGCCCAGGCGGGACUUGCAGAAUGAGAGUCCUAGGCCCAAGUAUAGAGUCCCUGGUGGGCACAGAGGAGAGACCAGGUCAGUGGGAGGGGUUGUCAGACCCUGUGGAGUGCCCCACCUGUGUGCCAGGCCCAGAACUGGGCUCAACUCUGAUGGUAGCAGGUGGAAAGUAGACUUCACUACUGUGGGAGUGGGGGCAUUCCUGGACACAGGGGGAAACCAGCUCACAGAACAGCCUGGGGUCUUCUUGGAGGAGGCCAUUUUGGCCCAGAUCCUAAAGGAAGACUGGAAGCCUCAGGGGGCAGUGAGAACAGGGACAAGAGAGGGCAGGUCUCAGGACUGACUGAGCAACUCAGACUGACCUGGAUCAAACUGUGGAGCCGGCGAAGGGUUUAGAGGGUUGCUGCAGGACAGUGGUGUCUGCAAAGACGCCUCUGGCUGCUGUCUGGAAAAUAGACAGGGGAGGCUGGGCAGGGGUCUGGGCAGGGGCUGGACAGGGGUGCUGGGCAGGGGCUGGACAGGGGUGCUGGGCAGGGGCUGGACAGGGGUGCUGGGCAGGGGCUGGACAGGGGUGCUGGGCAGGGUCAGUCCAUCUCCAUCCUGCUUUCCUUUUCUUUCUUUUCAACAAAUAUUGAUGGAGCACCUCCUCGGUGCCAGGCGCUGCUGCAGCCUCUAGGAAAUCAACCGUGGAAACACACGGACCCUGCCCUCCCGGCGCCAGUGUUCUGGUGGUCAGGAGGUGAAGAAAACCAGCAAGAACCAGCACAGGAAUCCGACGGUGGCAGCGCCGAGAGAAACAAGCUUGGAGGGGAAGGAGAGCUACAGAGGCUGCAUGGAUGUGAUGGUUGGAGUGGAAGCUGACAUUGUGGGCCAGGAGACCCUGGGAGUACAGGCCAAGAUGAAAAGAGCCUCAAUCCAGAGCGUUCUGUGAAGCAGUCACCACGGCCACCCUGGGCCAUCAGCUUCUGGACUUUUACAACAUAGAAAUUAAAUUUCCAUUGAAUUUGUUGGA
rnacentral:lncRNA from 1 species